UUUUCACAUUAACCAUUUCCAACCCACAAUGCCGCUCGAUUACCUGCCGAUCGUCUCACGGUGGGAUUCAGUCCUCGCUUCAUCUCUACCUUAAGAGAGCGAUGCCACGGCGCUUUAAUCCUUUAAGUCUGUCCAACUGUCUCUCCUCAGCAUCUGUACACUCUGUGCAAACAGAUCAGCGCACAGAGCUUCAUCUAUGAGCGCCAUCGAUCCCGUCGUUUCGUCGAUCAGUAAUUAUUCGAGCCGAGUCUCUGGUGUAGUUGCAUUCGGGAACUUUGAGUCCAACGUUCGUCUCCGUGAACUUCACUGGAAAAUGGUGAGUAAGAAAAUGAGCUGUUUUUUUGUUUUUGUUUUGUUUUAAGGAGCUAAGAGCAAAACCUGACGAACAUCCUGUUACAUGUUUGAGUUUCUUUUCUUUUUUUUCUCUUCCCCUUCUCCUUUGUAACCGAACUAGCAGUGACAUCAGCGCAGCAGACAACCACUGACAGCAUUAACAAAAAUACACCAUCAAGCACCUGAAUCUUUCUAAGUAUUUUAACAUAAACAUGUUGAACGUGUUUCAAAGCGGUGUUUCCUUUUUACGUCUCGCAUGAUUUUUAACGUCCGGGAGAGUGACGACUGUUUACCCGAGCGCUCCAGUGGUUUUAUUAUAAAGCACGCAGAAGUUCACGUCACACGCCCGUAUCCACCGAGUCAGUCUGACACUCGUCUUGUGAAGGAUCUUGGGGGGGAGGAAGCAGAUGUUUUAUGGCUGCACACAAUGUCUUUUAGUUGAACGGUGGAUCGGAUUGUAACGUCUCGCCGCAGUCUCUCGGGCAUGUUCGGUCCUGUUUCGCCGGGUGUGUUGGUGAGAUCGAGAGCAGCAGGUGACAUGAAAAUAAUAAAAAAGCAAAGCUCAACACAACUCAAGCUACUGGAAAAUUUUUUUUUUUUUUAAAUUUUGGUGGAGCUGACCUGUUUUCUUUUUGCUUGUGUUUUUUUUUUAUUAUUAUUAUUUAUUUUUUUGUUGUUUUUGUUUUUUCUUUAAACUCCUGUAACUCUCUUGUCUUCAGAACAUGUUUAACUGUGCUACCACAGCCUGAGCUUCAUCUGUCCACUUCAACAUUAAAAAUAAAAUAAACAAAAAACAAUAAAAAAAAAGUUCACGAGGGAAUAACUAUAGCGUGAGCAGGGCAUUUUGUUACAGCGACAUGUUAUUUAACCAUAAUGGCUGAGUGUAACCCUGAUUAUCUCAUUAAUAAUAUAUGGAGAACGGUAUUCAAACGCCCAGAAAGAUUGAUUUACCUUUCGCUAAGUGUAAGUCGUGUAGUGAUUUGAAUCUUCACUUAAACACUUUAUGUUGGGGAUGGGGGGGGGGGUAAUGCACUGUUAGCAUGCAUUGGGGUUUUCUGUUUUUUUUGCUUUUUGUUUUCCAUCGUGUAAUUUUGACCUUGUACAUACAAUUUGUAAACUUGCAUCAAGUUUAUGAAUAAAGAAUUUUAAGAAAUAUCACUUUUUUUUCUUCUUCUUUUUUUUUCCUUUUUUUCCCCCCCUUUCUAGGUAUUGCAUUUUAUUUGUCCACUAGAUGGCAGUAGGGUCUCAUUUAAAAGCACGCUGGUUUGAAACACACAUUAGGUGCUUGUCAUUGCGCCUCAUUGUUUACUUUCCUCGUGCCCGAGCUCUCCUUCGGAGGAAGCGAGAAUAGGAUGCAAGAGAAUGAAAUGAGGAUGGCAGGAAUUGAACAAAUUUACUAAAUAAGAUGUUCUUGCUCACUGACGCGUCGCUUUAAACCAAUUUUAUUGGAUUUGUAGCUGAAUCAUGCAUCUGCGUAUACAUGACAGUAAUUAGGCACAGUAGAAUCUUUAAUUAAAAGAAUAUUUCAUGUCUACAUCGCAUGCGUAAAUGUUGCUGUUUUAGCCUAAAUGAGAUCUUGCUCAUUACCCUGAUGUCCGUUUUUUGGCAUAUUAAACUGACUUUUAUUUGUACACUUUGUUUGUUUGGUUUGUUUGUUUAAUUAAGACUAUUUAUUUUCUGGUUUUGGUUUCUGUUAUCGU
ensembl:lncRNA